rnacentral:rRNA from 1 species
GACGAACGCUGCGGCGUGCCUAAUACAUGCAAGUAGAACGCUGAAGAGAGGAGCUUGCCCUUCUUGGAUGAGUUGCGAACGGGUGAGUAACGCGUAGGUAACCUGCCUUGUAGCGGGGGAUAACUAUUGGAAACGAUAGCUAAUACCGCAUAACAAUGGAUGACACAUGUCAUUUAUUUGAAAGGGGCAAUUGCUCCACUACAAGAUGGACCUGCGUUGUAUUAGCUAGUAGGUGAGGUAACGGCUCACCUAGGCGACGAUACAUAGCCGACCUGAGAGGGUGAUCGGCCACACUGGGACUGAGACACGGCCCAGACUCCUACGGGAGGCAGCAGUAGGGAAUCUUCGGCAAUGGGGGCAACCCUGACCGAGCAACGCCGCGUGAGUGAAGAAGGUUUUCGGAUCGUAAAGCUCUGUUGUAAGUCAAGAACGAGUGUGAGAGUGGAAAGUUCACACUGUGACGGUAGCUUACCAGAAAGGGACGGCUAA